CGUAGGUGCGAGCGUUGUCCGGAUUAUUGGCGUAAAGGCGUCGUAGGCGGUUUGUCGCGUCGGGAGUGAAAACCAAUGAGCUUAACUCAUGGCUUGCUUUCGAUACGGGCAGACUAGAGGUAUGCAGGGGAGAACGGAAUUCCUGGUGUAGCGGUGAAAUGCGCAGAUAUCAGGAGGAACACCGGUGGCGAAGGCGGUUCUCUGGGCAUUACCUGACGCUGAGGAGCGAAAGUGUGGGGAGCGAACAGGAUU
rnacentral:rRNA from 1 species